UCUGUUCACAGUUUAAUAACGAUAGGUCUCAAUGCUACUGAUAGAACGGGGAGUAGGCCGUUAAAAGGUCACUCAGGGAUGCAGAAUAUCGCGUACUGGUAUGCUCUUUGUUUGAGAACUGGACGUGAGAAAUAAUUCAACAUGGGUUCCAAGACAAAAACACUGGUUGCUGUCCUCCUCACUGCGACUGCCGUCUACAUCGCCACCCUCUACGUGGAUGAUUUUGAUCCCGCCAUGGUGAGAGGCAAGAGAGUGCUCAUUACCGGGGCGUCCUCUGGAAUUGGAGAACAGGUGGCGUAUCAUUUCGCCAAGAUGGGAGCAAACAUUGUUUUGACGGCGCGCAGAUAAAACCUCCUAAAAAAGGUCAUCGCAGAGUGUAACAAGUUAUCUCCGGCACCUGAGUCUAACCAUGUGUACACAGUAGCUGAUCUGAGAGACAUGGAGGAGACAGCUAGAGUUAUCAAGGUACACAGUACACACACACACACACACACACACACACACACAUUGAGCUGGGAGACAUGGAAGAGACAGCUAGGGUUAUCAAGGUACACAGUACACAUGUAAUAGGGUGAAACAUUACGAAAGCAUUCCCGCCUGUAAAAUAUUGUUGUAUGGUGAAACCAAUUGUGUUAGAGGUGACUAUACAGUGGGUCCCUCUAGUGUAAAAAAAGUGAGUAGUUCUAAAAGGUUGGAGAGUGUGUACUCCAUGCGGAGUUCUAACAUGUUUAUUGGCACACGUGUUUUCCAUGUUAGAGAGGGAAAUCCAUGCGGAGUUGUGAUACACACACGUGGAAGUAAUGUAAAACUGUGAAAUAAUAAUAAAAAAAAAAUUGAACCAGCAAGUUUUAUUACUUUAUCUACAACACUGCCCUUUUGGCGGUCACGUGUGCUUUGUUAGUCACGUGAGCGGGAAAUAUAAAUUACCCGCUCAACAGUAUUCUUGAGUUAUUUUUACUCACACUGUCACGUUGGCAUGUAUGUAUGUACAUGAAUAAAGAAGCUUAUUCUUCUGAGAUUCAGUCGAUGUUUGUUGUGAUACUCGGUUACAAAUGGCGCAGUCGACAGGAUUCAGCUUUUCCUGUUUUCAACGAUAUUGACGAUCCUCUGAACUUUACGGAGAUCUUGGGUAGAUAGCAAACAAACGGUGACUGUACUUCUCAGUUGAACAAUAGCACAUUCCAUCCACCGUAUGGGAGGGAACGGAUUUUCAACCAGUCACACCCUUCUACAAGGUGAGAUCUCAAAGUAAUCGUCAAUUUGUCAUCGUAACGACUGAUAGUUACCUGUACGUAAAGAUACACGAAGUGCUUA
rnacentral:lncRNA from 1 species